rnacentral:rRNA from 1 species
UACGUAGGGACCAAGCGUUGUUCGGAUUUACUGGGCGUAAAGGGCGCGUAGGCGGCACCGCAAGUCGACUGUGAAAUCUCCGGGCUUAACCCGGAAAGGUCAGCCGAUACUGUCGUGCUAGAGUGCGGAAGGGGCUACUGGAAUUCUCGGUGUAGCGGUGAAAUGCGUAGAUAUCGAGAGGAACACCUGCGGCGAAGGCGGGGUAGCUGGGCCGACACUGACGCUGAUGCGCGAAAGCCAGGGGAGCGAACGGG